rnacentral:rRNA from 1 species
GGCGUUCUGGAACCGUAGCUUACUGUGUGGCUUGGUGGAUAGUGAGGAUCUUGGAACCCGGAAAGGUGAAGGGUACUUCCGGGGUAGGAGUGAAAUCCUGUAAUCCCCGGGGGACCACCUGUGGCGAAGGCCUCUCACCAGAACGGCUCCUACAGUGAGGGACGAAAGCUGGGGGAGCCAACCGGAUUAUAUACCCGGGUAGUCCCAUGCCGUAAACCAUGCGCGUUAUUGUGUGUCGGCGACCACCAGACCUUGACGUGCCGAAAGGAAACCGUGAAACGUCCCGCCUGGGAAGUACGGUCGCCAGGAUGAAACUUAAAGGAAUUGGCGGGGGAGCACCACAACAGGUGGAGCCUGCGGUUUAAUUGGACUCUCCGCCGGGAAUCUCACCGGAUAAGACAGCUCGAAUGAUUGUGCCGGGUGAAUACUCUGCUUGACUAGCUGAAAGGAGGUGCAUGGCCGUCCUCAGUUCGCUACUGUGAAGCAUCCUGUGUUAGUCAGGCGACGAGCGAGACCCACCCCCACAGUUGCCAGCUUGACCUCCGGGGAGAUGGGGACACCGUUGGGACCGCCUCUGCUAAAGAUGAGAGAAGAAUGGGCAACAGUAUGUACGCAUGCCCCCCAAAAA